rnacentral:lncRNA from 1 species
UCCGCUCGCCCCGGGAGGGAGCCCGCGGCCAGGGCUGGACUCUCGCCCCGCCACCUCCACCGACUCUCUCCUCAGCCUCCGCGCCUGGCACCGCAGCAAGACUUGAAUGAAGUGAUCAUGUAAACUAGAGAAAGGAGAUUAAAAAUAACCUCUGGAUAUUCCUCUCAUGUGAUCUUUAUUCUGGAUGAAGCAUUAGGACAGCUAAUAGCCGUGUGUCACUGCAAUUUGCUGCCAGAAGUGUGUUUUCCUUUUUAAAAGAAAAUCAAACUACCUGUAGCUACUUGGGGAAUGAUGAAGAAAUAGAGAAGUCUUUGUGGGGUUUCAGGAGCCAUUUGAUUCAAGUAAGUCGGUGAGUAGCCUGCCCGACCGGAGGAAGCCAGACUGACCCAUAAUGACUCCAACCAUCCAACAAGUGUGGAUUGACCGCCUACUGUGUUCAGUGUGACAUGGAGGGGAGAUGAAUUUUUAAGAUGAGAGAGGAGGCCGGGCGCGGUGGCUCACGCCUGUAAUCCCAGCACUUUGGGAGGCCGAGGCGGGCGGAUCAUGAGGU